rnacentral:tRNA from 1 species
GGAGAGAUGGCCGAGAGGCUGAAGGCACAGGUUUGCUAAACCUGCAUACUCGAAAGGGUAUCGAGGGUUCGAAUCCCUCUCUCUCCGCCACUU